CGAAGAAGCAGGAGGAGGAGGAGAAGGGCGCCAUUUUGAUGAAAGAAAAAGAAAAAAAAAAUUAAGGUUUUAGAAAGAGAGAAGUGCUCGCCUCUGGAAGAAGAAGAAGAAAGAUGAGGAGGAGGAGGCAUGGCGGGGAAGAUGAAUCGUGCGAUUGGGUGUUGCAGUGACAUCGACGCGAUGCUGUGCCAUUCUCCAUCUGCAGAAGCGGCGAUUUUUUGUAGACGUGACCCGAUUUGAAUAGGAGAUAGAGGAGGUUUGAUUGGUGUGUGAUGCGAGGAGAACAGAAGCUCAAAUCAAGAUCUGCACAGCUUUUGGUGCGUGGUGCAGCCAGAAAACACCGUCUCUGUGCACGGUUGAAGAAGAAGAUCAGCACCGCGGCAAGUCGGUUUCGUCCUGUGAGAGGAGAGGUAGCGUGCACGAUUGCAGCACAAUCCGUUCUGAAUCUCAGAGCAAGAUAGGAGACGAGGCAGUGCGUACGACACCAUCCAGGGGGUUCCUAAAAGCACAUGCGAAGGCACAUGUAGGCACAAACGGCAGUGCGUGUCUCGUAGCGUGAUGGUGCACGGUGAUUAUGGUUAAAUGCGGGUAGUGGCGCGCAUGGUGGCGCGUAGUGCCUGUAACGAUCGAGACUGCAUGUCCAAGGAGUUUAUACAUCGCAUAUAGGCUUUAUCACAACAUAACCAGAAGUGAUGCAGGACCUAAAAGAUCGAAUGGAACGAUACAUAGACUAGUAAAUCCUGUAUGAAUUUUAUAUUUCAUUUGUCGUAUAAUUGAAUAAAGAAGUCAGAAAAUCUAAAUUGAAAUAAAAGAAGAAAAAAAAAAAGAGGUAUAGCAAGGAAGACGAAUUGCACAGUCAGGCAUUGUGGCGGCAUUGAUGCGGUGUUGUGCCAUUUUUUAUCUGUAGAAGCGGCAAUUUGUUCCCGAUGUGACCAGAUUUAAAAA